CAGCAGUAGCCGCGGUAAUACGUAGGGUGCAAGCGUUAAUCGGAAUUACUGGGCGUAAAGCGUGCGCAGGCGGUCCGCUAAGGCAGAUGUGAAAUCCCCGGGCUUAACCUGGGAACUGCAUUUGUGACUGGCGGGCUAGAGUAUGGCAGAGGGGGGUAGAAUUCCACGUGUAGCAGUGAAAUGCGUAGAGAUGUGGAGGAAUACCGGUGGCGAAGGCAGCCCCCUGGGCCAAUACUGACGCUCAUGCACGAAAGCGUGGGGAGCAAACAGGAUUAGAUACCCGCGUAGUCCCUGUCUCUUAUAA
rnacentral:rRNA from 1 species